rnacentral:rRNA from 1 species
AACGAACGCUGGCGGCAUGCCUAACACAUGCAAGUCGAACGAGACCUUCGGGUCUAGUGGCGCACGGGUGCGUAACGCGUGGGAACCUGCCUUUAGGUUCGGAAUAAACUCAGGGAAAUUUGAGCUAAUACCGGAUAAUGUCUUCGGACCAAAGAUUUAUCGCCUUUAGAUGGGCCCGCGUUGGAUUAGCUAGUUGGUGGGGUAAAGGCCUACCAAGGCGACGAUCCAUAGCUGGUCUGAGAGGAUGAUCAGCCACACUGGGACUGAGACACGGCCCAGACUCCUACGGGAGGCAGCAGUGGGGAAUAUUGGACAAUGGGCGAAAGCCUGAUCCAGCAAUGCCGCGUGAGUGAUGAAGGCCUUAGGGUUGUAAAGCU